rnacentral:rRNA from 1 species
GAUGAACGCUGGCGGCGUGCCUAAUACAUGCAAGUCGAGCGAACAGACGAGGAGCUUGCUCCUCUGACGUUAGCGGCGGACGGGUGAGUAACACGUGGAUAACCUACCUAUAAGACUGGGAUAACUUCGGGAAACCGGAGCUAAUACCGGAUAAUAUAUUGAACCGCAUGGUUCAAUAGUGAAAGACGGUUUUGCUGUCACUUAUAGAUGGAUCCGCGCCGCAUUAGCUAGUUGGUAAGGUAAAGGCUUACCAAGGCAACGAUGCGUAACCGACCCGAGAGGGAGGUCGGCCACACUGUAACUGAGACACGGUCCAGACUCCUACGGGAAGCAGCAGUAGGGAAUCUUCCGCGAUGCGCGAGAGGCUGACGGAGCAACGCCGCGUGAGUGAUGAAGGUCUUCGGAUCGUAAAGCUCUGUUAUUAGGGGAGAACAAAUGUGUAAGUAACUAUGCACGUCUUGACGGUACCUAAUCAGAAAGCCACGGCUAACUACGUG